CAAACUUCCAGCUACGAGAACUAAUAUCUUGCUAAGGAGAGCUCAGGAGGCAGAACAGAUGGACACACCUCAAAUUCAUUCUCUGAUAUGACCCGUGCUACACCAAGCACCUACUCUGUGCCAAGCCCUGCAUUGAAGGCAAGUAUGAGACAGCAGACAAGGCCAGAUGACCUUGGAAAGCCCCAAGUCCUAUGGGGGCAACAGGUAUAAAUAAACAAGCAUUGACAUCCAUAAAGAAUUCCAACCUUUGAGAGUAACUGUGUGUGAUGAUGUGUUCAUAAUUUUGAUUGUGGAAAUUAUUACACAGUAUAUACAUAUAGCAAAUCACAUUAUAUACCUUGAAUACAUACAAUUUUUAUUUGUCAAUUAUACCUUAAUGAAGCUGGGGAAAAAAGCUUUCUUAUUUGGGUUGAUACAUCAUCUUCAGAGUGUGAGCAAUAGAAUUAUUGCCAUAACAUUAUUAUUAAUAAUUAAUGAAAAUAUUUAGUUAUUUAAAGAACUACAACCUUUGAGAGCCCGGUACCAGAUGGAGACAGCAUUGGGUGUGAUUUAUGGAAGGUGCUUGGGAGCAUCUUCCUGGGAGAUUGGGAGCAUCAUGGAGGGUGGCUUGUCAGCUGAGACUGCAGGGAUUUGGAGGACCCGCAUGUGAAGAAGGAAGGGAGAGUGAAUGGGUAGGGAAGGAUUCAAGUGAAAGGCUCCAAGGAACAUCAUGUUAAACACUGAAAAAGAAACUAGAAAUGGAAUGGAGUAGAAAGAGAGGCUAUCAAGGAAGGGGUUUUUUGGAAAUACAGAAAUUUCAUCUGAAACCUGCAGCGCACCCCACACCCAUGACAGAACGACAGGUGCAAAGACCCUGAGCAGGAACGAGCUUGGCCUGCUGGGGGAAGCCAAAGAGCCAAGGAGUCCGGAAUGUGGGGAGUGGGGAGCAGAGUCCAGGAUGAGGGUAGGGGGCAGGCACUGCACAGACAUGCAGGGCAGUGCAGCCCAGCACGCACUCUGAAUGUCAUGAGAUGGCCCAGGGGAGGAUGAUUGAGGUGAGGGUUGGGGUCAUAUUUACGUUUAAAUGUGACUCUGCCAUUUCCCACAUCAUCAACCUCCAUGUGGCUGAAUUCACUGGACAGUCCUGGGCCUCCCAUCAUGUAACCCAUCAAAACCAUUUUGCAUAGUUGGUGGCUCCCCUGCUCUAGAAACAGUCUUCACCUGACUUCCAGGGACUCUGUGCUCCUGAGUUUCCUCAAACUCCACUGGCCGCUCCCUGCCAACCUCCUUUGCUCCGUCCACAUUUCCCUAACACUGUGACACUUGGCUUUGUGGCUCAGAAGGUGGUUCUCUAUCUUGCUUUCACUAAUUAUUUUGCAUGUUAUACCUAGAGUCCUCCCCCUACCCCAGGCAAGUAUUCCAGUGUGUUUCUUAAGUGUGUCUAUUUGUAUGCAUUCUUGAGAAACGUGCUUUUCUCUGUAAUGUGUCAUGUUUCAUUGUAUUGCCCACCUAGUGUCUUCUCAGGGUAUAGGUUCUGUCUCAAACAGGACUGUGAGGCCCUUUGGCCUCAUCCUCCCCUCCCCUCCCCGCCACAUUCUGGGUCUUCCUGGCACCCCAGAUCAGCUUUGUCUGCCCGUGAGACACGGGGGCCACACAGGCUUUGCCUCAGGCUGCACCAGGACAUUCCCCAGAGCUGAGUCCUGUCCACACAGCCUGCUUGCCGGAAACCAUGCAGGACCCAUCUUCCUCCUGCUCUGAUCAAACCCCAAGAACCACAUCACCGGGGGCCAUGGCAGGGAUGACCUUCAAUGAAAAAGAACCAUUUGCUUAUUCUCUUCACAACUGAACACGAGUGAAGGGAAAUGUGCAUCCACUUAAAAGUUCGGCUCCUCUCUCCACAGACCAAUCCCCUCCACUCCUUCACUUUGUUCAAAUUCAGUCACUUAUCCAUACUCCAGACAUGGCCUGAGCAUGCCCUCAUGCCAGUCUCAUGCAGACACCAUGCAGGAAGGGCACAAGAUAAGGCAUAGGCAGCCUAAGGGCAGCAAUGCGUAAGGAGAGCACACAGAACUCAGGGAGGAGCCAGAGGUGGCCACUGCCUUUGGUCCUAACCCUUUUUGGGGCCUCAGGGCCCCGCAUGUAAAAAUGGGCUUCCUAAGAAUAUCCACCUUGGUGAGAUGUGGUGAGGAAUGAACAUGGCAGUGGUGUGGCUUAACAUAGCUGCUAGUAACAAGAAAAACCUAGUCCAUGAGACAUCUGCUCCACGUGGACAGGAUGGGGUGACCCCGAGGGGAGGAUACUAACUUCCCCCGGUGGUGGGGGUGGGCAACCAGGGAAUGCUAUACAGAGCAGGUGUCAUGUCUCUGGGGUUUUGCAGAGAAUAACUAAGCAUAGGGUAGUUGCUCCUUGAGUUUUUA
rnacentral:lncRNA from 10 species